rnacentral:rRNA from 1 species
GAUGAACGCUAGCGGCAGGCCUAAUACAUGCAAGUCGGACGGGAUCCGUCGGAGAGCUUGCUCGAAGACGGUGAGAGUGGCGCACGGGUGCGUAACGCGUGAGCAACCUACCUCUAUCAGGGGGAUAGCCUCUCGAAAGAGAGAUUAACACCGCAUAAUAUCAACAGUUCGCAUGUUCGGUUGAUUAAAUAUUUAUAGGAUAGAGAUGGGCUCGCGUGACAUUAGCUAGUUGGUAGGGUAACGGCUUACCAAGGCGACGAUGUCUAGGGGCUCUGGGAGGGGAAUCCGCCACACUGGUACUGAGACACGGAACAGACGCCAACGGGAGGCAGCAGUAAGGAAUAUUGGUGAAUGGGCUGAAGCCUGAACCAGCCAUGCCGCGUGCAGGAUGACUGACCUAUGGGUUGUAAACUGCUUUUGUCCAGGAAUAAACCUAGAUACGUGUAGCUAGCUGAAUGUACUGGAAGAAUAAGGAUCGGCUAACUCCGUGCCAGCAGCCGCCGCUGUAA